GACGAACGCUGGCGGCGUGCCUAAUACAUGCAAGUAGAACGCUGAAGAGAGGAGCUUGCUCUUCUUGGAUGAGUUGCGAACGGGUGAGUAACGCGUAGGUAACCUGCCUUGUAGCGGGGGAUAACUAUUGGAAACGAUAGCUAAUACCGCAUAACAAUGGAUGACCCAUGUCAUUUAUUUGAAAGGGGCAAAUGCUCCACUACAAGAUGGACCUGCGUUGUAUUAGCUAGUAGGCGAGGUAACGGCUCACCUAGGCGACGAUACAUAGCCGACCUGAGAGGGUGAUCGGCCACACUGGGACUGAGACACGGCCCAGACUCCUACGGGAGGCAGCAGUAGGGAAUCUUCGGCAAUGGGGGCAACCCUGACCGAGCAACGCCGCGUGAGUGAAGAAGGUUUUCGGAUCGUAAAGCUCUGUUGUAAGUCAAGAACGAGUGUGAGAGUGGAAAGUUCACACUGUGACGGUAGCUUACCAGAAAGGGACGGCUAACUACGUG
rnacentral:rRNA from 1 species